AGGCUGCAACUCGCCUGCAUGAAGUCGGAAUUGCUAGUAAUCGCGGAUCAGCAUGCCGCGGUGAAUACGUUCCCGGGCCUUGUACACACCGCCCGUCACACCAUGAGAGCCGGUAACACCCGAAGUCAAUAGUCUAACCGCAAGGAGGACAUUGCCGAAGGUGGGAUUGGUAAUUGGGGUGAAGUCGUAACAAGGUAUC
rnacentral:rRNA from 1 species